rnacentral:lncRNA from 1 species
CUUUUCGAGGUAGGAGUCGACUCCUGUGAGGUAUGGUGCUGGGUGCAGAUGCAGUGUGGCUCUGGAUAGCACCUUAUGGACAGUUGUGUCCCCAAGGAAGGAUGAGAAUAGCUACUGAAGUCCUAAAGAGCAAGCCUAACUCAAGCCAUUGGCACACAGGCAUUAGACAGAAAGCUGGAAGUUGAAAUGGUGGAGUCCAACUUGCCUGGACCAGCUUAAUGGUUCUGCUCCUGGUAACGUUUUUAUCCAUGGAUGACUUGCUUGGGUAAGGACAUGAAGACAGUUCCUGUCAUACCUUUUAAAGGUAUGGAGAGUCGGCUUGACUACACUGUGUGGAGCAAGUUUUAAAGAAGCAAAGGACUCAGAAUUCAUGAUUGAAGAAAUGCAGGUUAGUUUAAACUUUGAAGGAAAUUUUUAAGGUGGCAAAAGGUUUUGGUGGCAUAUACACCUUAAUCUGUAGAUGGGAGUGAUUAGCUGUUUAAAAGUUAAAAUGUGACUGAGAAGGAAAUUGAGUAGGGCAAAUUUUAAAUGGGUAUUAUUUUUCAUCUUCAAACAGGCAGACCUGUUAUCCUAAACUAGGUGAGUCAGCUUUUGGUACAUGUGAUGAUUUUCAGUGUAACCAAUGAUGUAAUGAUUCUGCCAAAUGAAAUAUAAUGAUAUCACUGUAAAACCGUUCCAUUUUGAUUCUGAGGUUACUCUACUAACAAGCAUCACACAUUUGUAUUUUGCCCUGAUUAAUAUGUUGGCUUCGCUUUCAGGGUUUUUAAUGACCACAACAAGCAAGCAUGCAGCUUACUGCUUGAAAGGGUCUUGCCUCACCCAAGCUAGAGUGCAGUGGCCUUUGAAGCUUACUACAGCCUCAAACUUCUGGGCUCAAGUGAUCCUCAGCCUCCCAGUGGUCUUUGUAGACUGCCUGAUGGAGUCUCAUGGCACAAGAAGAUUAAAACAGUGUCUCCAAUUUUAAUAAAUUUUUGCAAUCCA